rnacentral:rRNA from 1 species
GCCGGAUAAUCGGGAGAAAUUCCGUCUAAUACGGCAUAAUGCAUCGACGGGACAUCCUGUUGGUGCCAAAGGUUGAUUCCGGUGGCGGAUGGGCAUGCGUCGCAUUAGUUAGUUGGCGGUGUAACGGACCACCAAGACGACGAUGCGUAGGGGUUCUGAGAGGAAGGUCCCCCACACUGGUACUGAGACACGGACCAGACUCCUACGGGAGGCAGCAGUGAGGAAUAUUGGUCAAUGGGCGGGAGCCUGAACCAGCCAAGUCGCGUGAGGGAUGACGGCCCUAUGGGUUGUAAACCUCUUUUGCCGGGAAGCAAAGUGCCGCACGUGUGCGGUUUGGAGAGUACCCGGAGAAAAAGCAUCGGCUAACUCCGUGCCAGCAGCCGCGGUAAUACGGAGGAUGCGAGCGUUAUCCGGAUUUAUUGGGUUUAAAGGGUGCGUAGGCGGACGCUUAAGUCAGCGGUAAAAUUGCGGGGCUCAACCUCGUCGAGCCGUUGAAACUGGGUGCCUUGAGUGGGCGAGAAGUACGCGGAAUGCGUGGUGUAGCGGUGAAAUGCAUAGAUAUCACGCAGAACUCCGAUUGCGAAGGCAGCGUACCGGCGCCCAACUGACGCUGAAGCACGAAGGCGUGGGUAUCGAACAGGAUUAGAUACCCUGGUAGUCCACGCAGUAAAC